UGAAAAGAAACGAGGGAUUUUUUUACAUCUUUACUGAAUUCUGACUUUAUUUCUGGAAGGGAGGGAUGGUGAAAAGGGUACUUAGAUGAGGAACAGGAGGGGAGAAUGUUUUUAGAUUGCCUUCUAAUUUUCAGGAGGACUAAGAGGUAAAAUUUUAUACCCCAGAGAGAAAACACUCAAAGCAAGGAGAUUCUGAUUCAAGUCCUAAAACCAAGGCAGCUGAUACUAGCUGCUGUAGACAGACUAACGCUGUGACUGUAAUGAUAUAAAUUUUAUUUCAGGAGUACUUAAAAAGCAUAUGCUAAUGUUUUGUAAGGGAGAAUGGUUUUAAAAUGUCCUUUGAAAUGAGAAUCUAUGUAAUUGUUUAAAGAGAACUUUGUGUAGCAGCAUUUCUUAAUUUAUCUCUUCAAGGGCAAAUGAGACAAUAUUUCUGCACUGUAAAGAGAAGAUUUAGGAAAGAAAUUGAAAUAGAGUGCAUUAGGUUUGGUGCUCAUUGCAUCCUGCAGCUCUCCUUCCUGUUGGAAUGCAGGACAGGUAGAAGGAGGCAAGUUUGGGGCCUUUGGAUCACGCGUCAGAGCCAGCUGUGA
rnacentral:lncRNA from 1 species